rnacentral:siRNA from 1 species
GCAACCACCACGAUCACAAAUGCA